rnacentral:rRNA from 1 species
AUUGAACGCUGGCGGCAGGCCUAACACAUGCAAGUCGAGCGGGUGUCGGUGUCUUGCUCCUGGCUUAAGCGUCGGACAGGUGUGUAAUGCCUAGGAAUCUGUCUGAUUGUCGCGGGUAACGUCCGGAAAAGGGCGCUAAUACCCCAUACGACAUGAGGUAGAAAGUGGGGGGUCUUGGGACCGCCCGCUUUCCUAUGAGCCUAGGUUGGAUUAGCUAGUUGGUGGGGUCAAGGCCUAACCAGGCGGCGAUCCGUAACUGGUCUGAGAGGAUGAUCAGCCACACUGGAACUGAGAAACGGUCCAGACUCCUACGGGAGGCAGCAGUGGGGAAUAUUGGGCAAUGGGCGAAAGCCUGAUCCAGCCAUGCCGCGUGUGUGAAGAAGGUCUUCGGAUUGGAAAGCACUGUAAGUUGGGAGGAAGGGCAGUAAGUUAAUACCUGGCUGUUUUGACGUUACCAACAGAAUAAGCACCGGCUAACUUCGUG